AGAGUUUGAUCCUGGCUCAGGACGAACGCUGGCGGCGUGGAUUAGGCAUGCAAGUCGAGCGAUAUCUACCUUCGGGUAGUGAAAGCGGCGAACGGGUGAGUAACACGUGAACAACCUGCCCUCACAUUCCGGAUAAUAGACCGAAAGGUCUUGUAAUACGGGCGAGGAUUUUUCUUAGGCAUCUUUGAAAAAGGGAAGGCGCAAGCCGUGCGAGGAGGGGUUCGCGGAUUAUCAGAUAGUUGGUGGGGUAACGGCCUACCAAGUCUACGACGAUUAGCUGGUCUGAGAGGAUGGUCAGCCACACUGGGACUGAGACACUGCCCAGACUCCUACGGGAGGCUGCAGUCGAGAAUCUUGCACAAUGUACGGAAGUAUGAUGCAGCGACGCCGCGUGAAGGAUGAAGGCCCUUGGGUCGUAAACUUCUUUUAUCGGGGAAGAACGUAGGUUUAAACCUGCUUGACGGUACCCGAUGAAUAAGCCACGGCUAACUACGUGCCAGCAGCCGCGGUAAUACGUAGGUGGCAAGCGUUGUCCGGAUUUACUGGGCGUAAAGAGUAUGUAGGCGGACAUUUAAGUAGAAAGUGAAAGGUUGGAGCUCAACUCCAACACUGCUUCCUAUACUGGAUGUCUUGAGUGCCGGAGAGGAAAGCGGAACGACACGUGUAGCGGUGAAAUGCGUUGAUAUGUGUCGGAACACCAAUGGCGAAGGCAGCUUUCUGGACGGAGCCGCAAGGCUUAAAACUGACGCUGAGAUACGAAAGCCGAGGGAGCGAACAGGAUUAGAUACCCUGGUAGUCUCGGCCCUAAACGAUGUUCACUAGGUGUCGGGGGGUAACCUCCGGUGCCGCAGCUAACGCAU
rnacentral:rRNA from 1 species